rnacentral:rRNA from 1 species
AGGGCACCACCAGGAGUGGAGCCUGCGGCUUAAUUUGACUCAACACGGGAAAACUUACCCGGCCCGGACACUGGAAGGAUUGACAGAUUGAGAGCUCUUUCUUGAUUCAGUGGGUGGUGGUGCAUGGCCGUUCUUAGUUGGUGGAGCGAUUUGUCUGGUUAAUUCCGAUAACGAACGAGACUCUAGCCUACUAAAUAGACUGUUCAGCUUUAUAGCCGGAAUCACUGGGCGUGUAGCUCUCCGCAAGGGGGGUUGCAUGUUCGGCUCUGGUGACGUUGGCAGUGCUUCUUAGAGGGACAGGCGGCGGUUCAGCCGCACGAAACAGAGCAAUAACAGGUCUGUGAUGCCCCUAGAUGUCCGGGGCUGCACGCGCGCUACACUGAAGUGAUCAGCGUGCAAUUUACGUUUGGUGAUCUGUCAAGAUUGCCCAACCCGUUGAACCUUCUUCGUGAUUGGGAUAGGGGAUUGUAAUUAUUCCCCUUGAACGAGGAAUUCCCAGUAAGCGCAAGUCAUAAGCUU